GCCGCGUGUGUGAAGAAGGCCUAUCGGGUUGUAAAGCACUUUUAUCAGGAACGAAAUACCACGGGUUAAUACCCUAUGGGGCUGACGGUACCUGAGGAAUAAGCACCGGCUAACUUCGUGCCAGCAGCCGCGGUAAUACGAAGGGUGCAAGCGUUAAUCGGAAUUACUGGGCGUAAAGGGUGCGUAGGCGGUUAGUUAAGUCUGUCGUGAAAUCCCCGGGCUCAACCUGGGAAUGGCGAUGGAUACUGGCUGGCUAGAGUGUGUCAGAGGAUGGUGGAAUUUCCGGUGUAGCGGUGAAAUGCGUAGAGAUCGGAAGGAACAUCAGUGGCGAAGGCGGCCAUCUGGGACAACACUGACGCUGAAGCACGAAAGCGUGGGGAGCAAACAGGAUUAGAUACCCUGGUAGUCCACGCCCUAAACGAUGCGAACUGGAUGUUGGUCUCAACUCGGAGAUCAGUGUCGAAGCUAACGCGUUAAGUUCGCCGCCUGGGGAGUACGGUCGCAAGACUGAAACUCAAAGGAAUUGACGGGGGCCCGCACAAGCGGUGGAGUAUGUGGUUUAAUUCGAUGCAACGCGAAGAACCUUACCUGGCCUUGACAUGUCCGGAAUCCUGCAG
rnacentral:rRNA from 1 species